AACGAGCGCUGGCGGCAUGCCUAACACAUGCAAGUCGAACGGUGUUCCCGCUUCGGUGGGGCGAUAGUGGCGCACGGGUGGAGUAACGCGUGGGAACCGUCGCCCACUGGUACGGGAACAACUCCGGGAACGUAGGGCGUAAUACCGUAUGUGUCCCGACGGGACGAAAGAAUUGAUCGCCAUGGGAGGGGCCCGCGUAGGAUUAGCUUGUUGGCGGGUAACGGCCCGCCAAGGCUACGAUCCUUAGCUGGCUGAGAGGAUGAUCAGCCACACUGGGACUGAGACACGGCCCAGACUCCUACGGGAGGCAGCAGUGAGGAAUAUUGCGCAAUGGACGAAAGUCUGACGCAGCGACGCCGCGUGGGGAUGAA
rnacentral:rRNA from 1 species